AGCUACAGGCUUAACACAUGCAAGUCGAGGGGCAUCAGGAAGAAAGCUUGCUUUCUUUGCUGGCGACCGGCGCACGGGUGAGUAACACGUAUCCAACCUGCCCUUUACUCGGGGAUAGCCUUUCGAAAGAAAGAUUAAUACCCGAUAGUAUAAUGAUUCCGCAUGGUUUCCUUAUUAAAGGAUUCCGGUAAAGGAUGGGGAUGCGUUCCAUUAGGUUGUUGGUGAGGUAACGGCUCACCAAGCCUUCGAUGGAUAGGGGUUCUGAGAGGAAGGUCCCCCACAUUGGAACUGAGACACGGUCCAAACUCCUACGGGAGGCAGCAGUGAGGAAUAUUGGUCAAUGGGCGUUAGCCUGAACCAGCCAAGUAGCGUGAAGGAUGAAGGCUCUAUGGGUCGUAAACUUCUUUUAUAUAAGAAUAAAGUGCAGUAUGUAUACUGUUUUGUAUGUAUUAUAUGAAUAAGGAUCGGCUAACUCCGUGCCAGCAGCCGCGGUAAUACGGAGGAUCCGAGCGUUAUCCGGAUUUAUUGGGUUUAAAGGGAGCGUAGGUGGACUGGUAAGUCAGUUGUGAAAGUUUGCGGCUCAACCGUAAAAUUGCAGUUGAUACUGUCAGUCUUGAGUACAGUAGAGGUGGGCGGAAUUCGUGGUGUAGCGGUGAAAUGCUUAGAUAUCACGAAGAACUCCGAUUGCGAAGGCAGCUCACUGGACUGCAACUGACACUGAUGCUCGA
rnacentral:rRNA from 1 species